rnacentral:lncRNA from 1 species
GGCAGAGGAAGCUGGGUGGCAGGAGGAGCCCAACGUCUUGCAGAUCACAGACAUGUUCGAUGCGGAUUCACACGAGCCUCCGAUAACGUCCAUGUGACGUUUCCUCGCAUCAGAAGCUGUCACAGAAGUAACGCGGUACAGCCGUCGACAGACGUCAUCUCCCACCAGGAAGCGCUGCGGAUUCCGGGGAUGAGGCGCUUUGGGCCAACUUCAAUUUUCUCAUUCUGAGUUUGGAAAUGAAACUUUGG